rnacentral:rRNA from 1 species
UACAGAGGGUGCAAGCGUUAAUCGGAAUUACUGGGCGUAAAGCGUGCGUAGACGGUUAUGUAAGUCAGACGUGAAAUCCCUCGGCUUAACCGGGGAACUGCGUCUGAUACUGGAUGGCUUGAGAUUGGGAGAGGGAUGCGGAAUUCCGGGUGUAGCGGUGAAAUGCGUAGAUAUCUGGAGGAACACCGGUGGCGAAGGCGCAGAUCCUGGACCGAGUACUGA